rnacentral:rRNA from 1 species
AACGAACGCUGGCGGCAUGCCUAACACAUGCAAGUCGAACGAGACCUUCGGGUCUAGUGGCGCACGGGUGCGUAACGCGUGGGAACCUGCCCUUAGGUUCGGAAUAACUCCCCGAAAGGGGUGCUAAUACCGGAUAAUGUCUUCGGCCCAAAGAUUUAUCGCCUUUGGAUGGGCCCGCGUUGGAUUAGCUAGUUGGUAGGGUAAAAGCCUACCAAGGCGACGAUCCAUAGCUGGUCUGAGAGGAUGAUCAGCCACACUGGGACUGAGACACGGCCCAGACUCCUACGGGAGGCAGCAGUGGGGAAUAUUGGACAAUGGGCGAAAGCCUGAUCCAGCAAUGCCGCGUGAGUGAUGAAGGCAUUAGGGUUGUAAAGCUCUUUUACCCGGGAUGAUAAUGACAGUACCGGGAGAAUAAGCUCCGGCUAACUCCGUG